CAUGUACUCCCUCCGUUCGGAAUUACUUGUCAUAAAAAUGGAUGUAUCUACAACUAAAAUACAUUUAGAUACAUUCAUUUCUUUGACGAGUAAUUCAAAACGGAGGGAGUACGAU
rfam:Triticum aestivum genome assembly, contig: Triticum_aestivum_CS42_TGACv1_scaffold_569386_7AS